CCUACGGGAGGCAGCAGUAAGGAAUAUUGGUCAAUGGACGCAAGUCUGAACCAGCCGUGCCGCGUGGAGGAUGAAGGUCCUCUGGAUUGUAAACUUCUUUUAUUUGGGAAGAAACCCACCUUUUCUUGGGUGGUUGACGGUACUAGAUGAAUAAGCACCGGUUAACUCCGUGCCAGCAGCCGCGGUAAU
rnacentral:rRNA from 1 species